rfam:Coprococcus sp. CAG:782 genomic scaffold, scf170
CAGAGGAGGUACCCAUGCAUCGUAGAUGCAUAUAAAAUGGUACCGACGAUAUGCCGCCCAAUGAAAUGAGGGGGCAAUACUUAAA